rnacentral:rRNA from 1 species
GUGAGGAUCUGCCCUUAGGAUGGGGACAACAGCUGGAAACGGCUGCUAAUACCCAAUGUGCCGAGAGGUGAAACAUUAAUGGCCUGAGGAUGAGCUCGCGUCUGAUUAGCUAGUUGGUAGUGUAAUGGACUACCAAGGCGACGAUCAGUAGCUGGUCUGAGAGGAUGACCAGCCACACUGGGAGUGAGACACGGCCCAGACUCCUACGGGAGGCAGCAGUGGGGAAUUUUCCGCAAUGGGCGCAAGCCUGACGGAGCAAGACCGCGUGGGGGAAGAAGGUUUGUGGAUUGUAAACCCCUUUUGAUUGGGAAGAAGACAGUGACGGUACCAAUCGAAUCAGCAUCGGCUAACUCCGUGCCAGCAGCCGCGGUAAUACGGAGGAUGCAAGCGUUAUCCGGAAUUAUUGGGCGUAAAGCGUCCGUAGGUGGAAGUUCAAGUCAGUUGUUAAAGCGUGAGGCUUAACCUCAUAAGGGCAAUUGAAACUGAGCAUCUAGAGUGCGAUAGGGGCAAGGGGAAUUCCCAGUGUAGCGGUGAAAUGCGUAGAUAUUGGGAAGAACACCGGUGGCGAAAGCGCCUUGCUGGGUCUGCACUGACACUGAGGGACGAAAGCUAGGGGAGCGAAAGGGAUUAGAUACCCCU